rnacentral:tRNA from 1 species
GUGGUCAUCGUCCAACGGCAAGACGCCUGAGUGUGGACCAGGAAACGCCAGUUCAAGUCUGGCUGAUCACC